AUUAGAGUUUGAUCCUGGCUCAGAUUGAACGCUGGCGGCAUGCUUUACACAUGCAAGUCGAACGGCAGCACGGGCUUCGGCCUGGUGGCGAGUGGCGAACGGGUGAGUAAUACAUCGGAACGUACCCAGAAGUGGGGGAUAACGUAGCGAAAGUUACGCUAAUACCGCAUACGUUCUACGGAAGAAAGUGGGGGAUCGCAAGACCUCAUGCUUUUGGAGCGGCCGAUGUCUGAUUAGCUAGUUGGUAGGGUAAAGGCCUACCAAGGCGACGAUCAGUAGCUGGUCUGAGAGGACGACCAGCCACACUGGAACUGAGACACGGUCCAGACUCCUACGGGAGGCAGCAGUGGGGAAUUUUGGACAAUGGGCGCAAGCCUGAUCCAGCAAUGCCGCGUGAGUGAAGAAGGCCUUCGGGUUGUAAAGCUCUUUUGUCAGGGAAGAAACGGCGGAGGCUAAUAUCCUUUGCUAAUGACGGUACCUGAAGAAUAAGCACCGGCUAACUACGUGCCAGCAGCCGCGGUAAUAAU
rnacentral:rRNA from 1 species